rnacentral:tRNA from 1 species
GAGGGUGUAGCUCAGUGGUAGAGCACGUGCUUAGCAUGCACAAGGUCUUGGGUUCAAUCCCCAGUACCUCCA